rnacentral:tRNA from 1 species
AUUUAUACAGUAUAAAUUUGUACAUUCAACUUCCAAUUGAAAAGUUUAAAAUAUUAAUAUAAAUA